GGCUCAAUGGUCUAGUCGUAUGAUUCUCGCUUUGGGUACUUAAGUAUCAUAAAUGCGAGAGGUCUCGGGUUCAAUUCCCGAUUGAGCCC